AAUAUGCUUUUUAUGGUUGCUGUUGCCAUAUUUACUGAAGGUUUAUACCUAAAUGUAACUUUAGCUUUAUGGAACUAUAUAGUAAUCCCAAAUCAAGUUAUUUUGAAUAUUUUUAUGCUGUCAUGCUUGAAUGUUUUAGAUGUAACCUUUGACAUAUUUAGAACUCUCCUCCUAUACAAUGUUUAUUCUCAGAUAUAGAGGUUAUGUCAUUUUAUAAAGACUUCAUUGAUAAGAUGGCUUUUAUUCAUACUAAUCCUCCCAAUGUUACCCCUUCCAUCUUCCAAGAAGAAAAAAAAUGCCUGAAUAUUCAGAAUAGAUAUUUCUGAUUUGAAAAUUCUAAAGAAUUAAACUGGAAAAGUAUUUCAUUUACUUAGUGCUCUGAAUUUACUUUUACAGUUUUCUGCAGUCAGUAUCAUUAAAAUGGUUAAGUUUACAUUUGAACUGAAAAUAUGUAUAAAAUCUAGCAAUUCACAAAAAUGCCCUAGAAAUAUAGAUUUUAAUCACCAUUACAUAAUGACAAACCUUGUUAAAUGCUUCCACUUCCAGUGGCAAAUGCCACUAGGGAAAGUAAGUUGCACUCAUGUAAGUAUCAAACUAUAUAAAAGGAGGCCUUGUGCAUUUCAAGUUUGCAAAGUACCUGUGUACUUAAAAUAUGUGUGGAGACCUACUGUACAGUAGUUUUGCCCCUUUAAUUGGGGCACAUUCAUCUUAAAUCUUAUAGUAUUUAUCCACCCAAACCCCAGACUGAGAUACUGCUCCCAGGGGCCUAGGUAGCUGCCAGUCCGUGAUUUUAAUUGCUGUCUUGAAGUUAACAAGUGUUAUAAUGAAAUAAUCUACCUGAUGCUAAAUAAAGGCUUUAGAAUGUUCCCCAAAAGUGUGGUUUCUUUUAAAAUUUCAAAUAUACUAAUGUUGCCACUUAAUACUAUCCUAAAUUGUUAGACGUGUCCUACGAAAGAAGUCCUUGUGGUACCAUAGCUCCCAGGGUCAAGGAGAUGAUAACCAGUUACCUGGCAUGCAUAGUGGACACAGCCUGGGCGCACCCUGCAAAGCUGGCUUCUUCUCAUACUCAGGUGUCAGUUUACAUCUGAGCCUGAACACCCUACCUAAUAGUGACAAUUAAAGGAACAGCAAUGGGCACUUGCAUUGCAACAUAUCUCAAGACAUCUGACUGUGAAACGACAGCAUGUCCAGGAAGAGGUUUCCAUCCCUGUGCUUCCUGAACAUUUGAGCCUACUAAGAUAAAAGGUGGGGCACUGGUCUUCUUGGUGUCGCCCAUCACAUAAGUUGGAAAAGUGACUUUUGGUGGAUGCUGCUGAAACUGUGGAUCCUUAGGAUUAGGUAAAUAGAGGGUUGCUUGGGGAAAAGGCCCAGGUGCAGGUGGCGGUGAUGGGUGACCUUGUUGAUUCUUAUCAGUUAGACAAUAAAGGGUCCACAUGUUAGAA
rnacentral:lncRNA from 1 species